GGACAGUGGUGAUGAUUAUGACUUUUGUCUUUAUCCUGAAAUAAUUCAUGUGGGCCUUUCAGUCACUACCUCUUCUGAACUGUCA
ensembl:snoRNA small nucleolar RNA, C/D box 11B